AUUGAACGCUGGCGGCAUGCCUUACACAUGCAAGUCGAACGGUAACAGGUCUUCGGAUGCUGACGAGUGGCGAACGGGUGAGUAAUAUAUCGGAACGUGCCCAGUCGUGGGGGAUAACGCAGCGAAAGCUGUGCUAAUACCGCAUACGAUCUAUGGAUGAAAGCGGGGGAUCGCAAGACCUCGCGCGAUUGGAGCGGCCGAUAUCAGAUUAGGUAGUUGGUGGGGUAAAGGCCCACCAAGCCAACGAUCUGUAGCUGGUCUGAGAGGACGACCAGCCACACUGGAACUGAGACACGGUCCAGACUCCUACGGGAGGCAGCAGUGGGGAAUUUUGGACAAUGGGCGCAAGCCUGAUCCAGCAAUGCCGCGUGCAGGAUGAAGGCCUUAGGGUUGUAAAGCACUUUCGUUGGGGAUGAUAAUGACCGUACCCAAAGAAGAAGCCACGGCUAAAUUCGUGCCAGCAGCCGCGGUAAUCUCGU
rnacentral:rRNA from 1 species